GGCUUUAUAGCUUAAUUGGUGAGAGCGCCCCGCUUUGGUGGGGAGGUAUAGGGUCGGAGCCUAUUGAAGCCA
rnacentral:tRNA from 2 species